rnacentral:rRNA from 1 species
UACGUAGGGGGCUAGCGUUGUCCGGAAGCAUUGGGCGUAAAGCGCGUGUAGGCGGUCCGGUAAGUCCGCUGUGAAAGUCGGGGGCUCAACCCUCGGAUGCCGGUGGAUACUGUCGGGCUUGAGUACGGAAGAGGCGAGUGGAAUUCCUGGUGUAGCGGUGAAAUGCGCAGAUAUCAGGAGGAACACCAAUUGCGAAGGCAGCUCGCUGGGACGUUACUGACGCUGAGACGCGAAAGCGUGGGGAGCGAACAGG